UAUUUAUUAUAGUUAAAAUGUAUUAUAAACUGUUAUGUAUACAAUAUAUUUAUAUCCAUAUAUAGCAAAUAUAAUAUAAUACAAUGAAAUAAUAUAUACAAUUAUAUAAUAUUUAAUAAUAUACAAAAUAUAAAUAUACAUAAAUACAAUAUCAAACACAUAUCAUUCAAUAAUAUACAACAAUAAAAUGUAUAUAAUUUUUGUGCAUAU